CAUAGAAUAAAGAUCCAUAUAGAAGGGCCACUUACGUCGGAAGCUUUGAAGUUUCUGUCCUCGCGCAUGUCGCAUUACGCAUGUUGGCCGCCAUUUUCCUAGCCAGUCAAUGACAUUUUCUGGCCAAUAAACGCGCUGUAUUGGCUGGCUGCUCCGCCUUCUGGCCAGUAAACUGCAUAUUUUUGCAUAAAAAAAUGAGGACAUGUUGCACCGCUGAGUGGCCCUUCUAUAUGGAUCUUUAUUCUAUGGUCUAGAUACAAGAGCGUUUGUUGCUUUUGAAUCGGGUGAUUCGCAUUUCUUUUAGUUGACAAAACGUUCCAUAUUAAUAUUGGACUAAUUUGAGUUUGAAUUUCGCAAUAUUUUUUAAAAUUUGUUAUUGCCAUUCAAAUUAUUAACCGUUAAUU